rnacentral:rRNA from 1 species
GGUUAAGUUAGAAAGGGCGCACGGUGGAUGCCUUGGCACUAGGAGCCGAUGAAGGACGGGACGAACACCGAUAUGCUUCGGGGAGCUGUAAGCAAGCUUUGAUCCGGAGAUUUCCGAAUGGGGAAACCCACCACUCGUAAUGGAGUGGUAUCCAUAUCUGAAUACAUAGGAUAUGAGAAGGUAGACCCGGGGAACUGAAACAUCUAAGUACCCGGAGGAAGAGAAAGCAAAUGCGAUUCCCUGAGUAGCGGCGAGCGAAACGGGACCAGCCCAAACCAAGAGGCUUGCCUCUUGGGGUUGUAGGACACUCUGUACGGAGUUACAAAGGAACGAGGUAGAUGAAGAGGUCUGGAAAGGCCCGCCAUAGGAGGUAACAGCCCUGUAGUCAAAACUUCGUUCUCUCCUGAGUGGAUCCUGAGUACGGCGGAACACGUGAAAUUCCGUCGGAAUCCGGGAGGACCAUCUCCCAAGGCUAAAUACUCCCUAGUGACCGAUAGUGAACCAGUACCGUGAGGGAAAGGUGAAAAGCACCCCGGAAGGGGAGUGAAAGAGAUCCUGAAACCGUGUGCCUACAAGUAGUCAGAGCCCGUUAACGGGUGAUGGCGUGCCUUUUGUAGAAUGAACCGGCGAGUUACGAUCCCGUGCAAGGUUAAGCAGAAGAUGCGGAGCCGCAGCGAAAGCGAGUCUGAAUAGGGCGAAUUGAGUACGUGGUCGUAGACCCGAAACCAGGUGAUCUACCCAUGUCCAGGGUGAAGUUCAGGUAACACUGAAUGGAGGCCCGAACCCACGCACGUUGAAAAGUGCGGGGAUGAGGUGUGGGUAGGGGUGAAAUGCCAAUCGAACCUGGAGAUAGCUGGUUCUCUCCGAAAUAGCUUUAGGGCUAGCCUCAAGGUAAGAGUCUCGGAGGUAGAGCACUGAUUGGACUAGGGGCCCCUACCGGGUUACCGAAUUCAGUCAAACUCCGAAUGCCGAUGACUUAUCCUUGGGAGUCAGACUGCGAGUGAUAAGAUCCGUAGUCGAAAGGGAAACAGCCCAGACCGCCAGCUAAGGUCCCAAAGUAUACGUUAAGUGGAAAAGGAUGUGGAGUUGCUUAGACAACCAGGAUGUUGGCUUAGAAGCAGCCACCAUUUAAAGAGUGCGUAAUAGCUCACUGGUCGAGUGACUCUGCGCCGAAAAUGUACCGGGGCUAAACGUAUCACCGAAGCUGCGGACUGUUCUUCGAACAGUGGUAGGAGAGCGUUCUAAGGGCUGUGAAGCAAGACCGGAAGGACUUGUGGAGCGCUUAGAAGUGAGAAUGCCGGUAUGAGUAGCGAAAGAGGGGUGAGAAUCCCCUCCACCGAAUGCCUAAGGUUUCCUGAGGAAGGCUCGUCCGCUCAGGGUUAGUCGGGACCUAAGCCGAGGCCGAAAGGCGUAGGCGAUGGAUAACAGGUUGAUAUUCCUGUACCACCUCCUCACCAUUUGAGCAAUGGGGGGACGCAGGAGGAUAGGGUAAGCGCGGUAUUGGAUAUCCGCGUCCAAGCAGUUAGGCUGGGAAAUAGGCAAAUCCGUUUCCCGUGAAGGCUGAGCUGUGAUGGCGAGCGAAUUAUAGUAGCGAAGUUCCUGAUUCCACACUGCCAAGAAAAGCCUCUAGCGAGGUGAGAGGUGCCCGUACCGCAAACCGACACAGGUAGGCGAGGAGAGAAUCCUAAGGUGAUCGAGAGAACUCUCGUUAAGGAACUCGGCAAAAUGACCCCGUAACUUCGGGAGAAGGGGUGCUCUGUUAGGGUGCAAGCCCGAGAGAGCCGCAGUGAAUAGGCCCAGGCGACUGUUUAGCAAAAACACAGGUCUCUGCGAAGCCGUAAGGCGAAGUAUAGGGGCUGACGCCUGCCCGGUGCUGGAAGGUUAAGAGGAGCGCUUAGCGUAAGCGAAGGUGCGAAUUGAAGCCCCAGUAAACGGCGGCCGUAACUAUAACGGUCCUAAGGUAGCGAAAUUCCUUGUCGGGUAAGUUCCGACCCGCACGAAAGGCGCAACGAUCUGGGCACUGUCUCAACGAGAGACUCGGUGAAAUUAUAGUACCUGUGAAGAUGCAGGUUACCCGCGACAGGACGGAAAGACCCCGUGGAGCUUUACUGCAGCCUGAUAUUGAAUGUUGGUACAGCUUGUACAGGAUAGGUAGGAGCCUUGGAAACCGGAGCGCCAGCUUCGGUGGAGGCAUCGGUGGGAUACUACCCUGGCUGUAUUGACCUUCUAACCCGCCGCCCUUAUCGGGCGGGGAGACAGUGUCAGGUGGGCAGUUUGACUGGGGCGGUCGCCUCCUAAAAGGUAACGGAGGCGCCCAAAGGUUCCCUCAGAAUGGUUGGAAAUCAUUCGCAGAGUGUAAAGGCACAAGGGAGCUUGACUGCGAGACCUACAAGUCGAGCAGGGACGAAAGUCGGGCUUAGUGAUCCGGUGGUUCCGCAUGGAAGGGCCAUCGCUCAACGGAUAAAAGCUACCCCGGGGAUAACAGGCUUAUCUCCCCCAAGAGUCCACAUCGACGGGGAGGUUUGGCACCUCGAUGUCGGCUCAUCGCAUCCUGGGGCUGUAGUCGGUCCCAAGGGUUGGGCUGUUCGCCCAUUAAAGCGGUACGCGAGCUGGGUUCAGAACGUCGUGAGACAGUUCGGUCCCUAUCCGUCGCGGGCGCAGGAAAUUUGAGAGGAGCUGUCCUUAGUACGAGAGGACCGGGAUGGACGCACCGCUGGUGUACCAGUUGUUCUGCCAAGGGCAUCGCUGGGUAGCUAUGUGCGGACGGGAUAAGUGCUGAAAGCAUCUAAGCAUGAAGCCCCCCUCAAGAUGAGAUUUCCCAUUCCGCAAGGAAGUAAGAUCCCUGAAAGAUGAUCAGGUUGAUAGGUCUGAGGUGGAAGUGUGGCGACACAUGGAGCUGACAGAUACUAAUCGAUCGAGGACUUAACCAA